rnacentral:rRNA from 1 species
UCACUAAACCUAAAGGCGCAAUGAAAGUAAAGAUCCGCCCCGCGCGGAUUUAGGGAAGAUGGGCGGUUCGCCUUCAAAGUGGCCGCUCCGCACUCCCGAGGCGUCUCGUUCUCAUUACGAGAAGAGGCGCACCAAGAGCGUACACGCUGGGACCCGAAAGAUGGUGAACUAUGCCUGGUCAGGACGAAGUCAGGGGAAACCCUGAUGGAGGUCCGUAGCGAUUCUGACGUGCAAAUCGAUCGUCGGAACUGGGUAUAGGGGCGAAAGACUAAUCGAACCAUCUAGUAGCUGGUUCCCUCCGAAGUUUCCCUCAGGAUAGCUGGCGCUCGUCUGUGACGAGUUUCAUCCGGUAAAGCGAAUGAUUAGAGGCAUUGGGGUCGAAACGACCUCAACCUAUUCUCAACUUUGUGGGAAUCUCCGGCUUGCUCGAACU